rnacentral:lncRNA from 1 species
AUAAUCCCAGAAUUCUGGGAGGUUAAAGGAGGAUCAACCCCAGCUUGGGCAAUUUAAGCUACUUAAUGAGAUCCUGUCUCAAAAUAAAAAAUAAAAAAAAGGAUUUGGGAUGUAGCUCAAUGGGUUCAAUCCCCAGUACCAGUUUUAAAAUGUUCAAAUUUAUCAUAACAAUUAUAAUACAUAAAAUUAUAGUUUAGAUAGUAUCCUGGGGUUCAAACGAAAAAGGAAAACAAAUUGGAAAUCCGUAGUAAGAAUGUGAUCAGUUAGCCAGAUGUAGCAGUGCAUGUCUGUAGUCCCAGAGUUCUGGAGGCUGAGGAAGGAGGAUGGUGAGUUAGGCCAGCCUGGAAUACUUAGUGAGACCCUGUCUCCAAAAACCAAAACCAACCAAACAAACAAACAAAAAAUGAGACUAUAGUUAGUUGGGUCGCACUUGAAAAGUAACAAACAAAACAAAACUUAAUUUUUGCUUUAAGACCAUGACUUGAACCUCUCCUCUAUUUGUUCUUCCUGUAGUCCAUUGAAAGUACCAAAGAUGUUAAAAAAAAGAGAGAAAUAAAGAAAAUCUUAAAGAGGAAAAAUGAUAGUAUUGCCAUAUGAGAAAUGAAUACUCAAAUAUGUGAAGCACAGAUGACCAAACUGAAGCAAAAACUUCUCAGAAUGGAGCCUCUUCAGAAGACUUCCCCUCUGAGGAGCCUCCUUGACAAGUCCUCUGCUCAUUCCUCUGUGUUUCCCAAUGAACCUGUGCCUCCCUCUGCUGAAGCAAAUAGCAGUCUGCUAUGUCUCUCCUGUGAGACAGUAGGUGCAUUGUCUCUCACACCUUCUUUCUCUAUCUGCAGAGAUUAUCCCUGGUUUGAUACAUAAGAUGUGCUUACAAAGUGUUACACAAAUGAAGAGUUUAAUUUCUCUGAGGUUAAGGUUUUCCAUCUCUAAAAUGGGAAUACUAAUAAUAUAUGAUAUUGGGGUUUCCAAGAACCUUCUUUAGAAAAGAGGCUGGCCCUUCCCUCUUUAAUAAUAACAGCAAUAGGUUUUGUUAUUGAGUACCUAUUAUAUGUGCCAAAUGCCAAAUGCACUUUUAUUGUAUUAUCAUUAUCUCUUUUAUUAUCUCGUUUGUCUUAUGCCCUGUGUUAGUCAGCUUUCUAUAGCUGUGACAAGAUACUUGAGAUAAUCAAUUUAAAAGGAGGAAAGAUUUAUUUUGCCUUGUGUUUCAGAGGUUUCGGGUUAUGGUCACUUGGCUCAUUUGUUUUUGGGCCCAUGGUGGCGCAGUGCAAUCACUGUGGAAGCAUACAGUGGAACAAAGCUGCUCACCUCAUGGUAGCCUGGAAACAAAAACAGAAGCGGCUGUUGGCCGCAUGUACCUUCCUAAGGCAUACCCUUAUGAUCCAACAUCCUCCCACUCAGCUCUACAUCUUGAAGGUUUCACUACUUCCCUCUAGUGUCACAGGCUGGCAACCAGGUCUUUACAUGUGUUUUUCUGGGGACAUCAAAACCAUUGUUUCUCUUGUGUGAGAAUUCCAAACUAUAUGAAUAAGGAGAAAAAUGGAGGAUAGAUAUUAGGAAGUGGGAAGAACUUGUUCAAAAAGAAAGGGGAACAGGAGAUGGGAGAGAGGAAAGGAAAGGAGAUUUAAAGAAAAAAAUAAUUGAAAAAAAGGAAAUAGAGCUUUUGUAAAUGGAGAGGAAAAAGAUUAGAGGGAGAGGAGGGCAGGGGAAAAAAAAGAAUUAAGAUGUGUUAUAUAUGUGUAAAUCCCCCAUAAUGAGUAGGGUCAUUCUGUAUUGCAAAUAUGUACUAAUAAAAAUAUACACCCUUAUAGGUGCUGUUAUUCCCAUUUUGUAGAUUCUUGGAGAAGUGAAGAAACAGUCCCAAACCAAUAGCAAGCAUGUUUGUGGCAGAGCUUGGACUUGAAUUCUAAGUGGUUAAUUUUUCUCCAGAACUUAGCCACCAUGCACUUAAUGUUUCUAUAGGAUGCUCAGUUUGCUUUGUCAUCAACAGGUCUCCUCAUGGAUACCCUGGCUGUACCAUUAUAGUCUCUAAAAUAUUGACCUUGAAAGUUACUGGUCAGACCCAGUCCCUAACACAUUGCUUGGCACGUGGAAAGUGCAUACUCAACAUAAAAUUGUUUUAUGAAAUAGUGAAUUAGCUUUUAAUGAAAAGCUUAUAGAUAUUAGUAAUCUGUGAAUUAAACCAAGAGACUUUAA